GGUUUGAUAAAAAGAAAAAAA
rnacentral:piRNA from 1 species